UUACGGAAGGCAGCAGUAAGGAAUAUUGGUCAAUGGAGGCAACUCUGAACCAGCCAUGCCGCGUGCAGGAAGACAGCCCUCUGGGUCGUAAACUGCUUUUAUUCGGGAAUAAACCUACUUACGUGUAAGUAGCUGAAUGUACCGAAGGAAUAAGGAUCGGCUAACUCCGUGCCAGCAGCCGCGGUAAUACGGAGGAUCCAAGCGUUAUCUGGAUUUAUUGGGUUUAAAGGGUGCGUAGGCGGCUUAUUAAGUCAGGGGUGAAAGACGGUGGCUCAACCAUCGCAGUGCCCUUGAUACUGAUGAGCUUGAAUACACUAGAGGUAGGCGGAAUGUGACAAGUAGCGGUGAAAUGCAUAGAUAUGUCACAGGACACCGAUUGCGAAGGCAGCUUACUAUGGUGUGAUUGACGCUGAGGCACGAAAGCGUGGGGAUCAAACAGGAUUAGAUACCCGCGUAA
rnacentral:rRNA from 1 species